rnacentral:lncRNA from 1 species
CCCGGGUUAGGACGGCUGGAUGGGAUACAGAGUUUUCACAAAGAAGACAGCGCUCUUGGAAAGGAAUUAUUUGCUGUAGGGUUAUAUACUUUUUUUUUCAUUAAAGGUUAAAAAUCAUCAGACAACGGACAUUUCAGAAAGUUGUCGAUGUUACCUUUCUAGUAUGUGCAGAGCUGAUGACUUCACUCUCACGAAAAGCUGGGAAGUUUCUUCCUUCUUUCUAAUCUUCUGUACUCAGAAAGCUCCUUUUGGUUAUUUUCUUUAAGGAAGCAGAGAUACAGUGUUUGCUCGGGGCAGAAACAAGGGCUGUGCUUGGAGGUUUUGCUGAGUCAUGUUGACCUUGGUGAAUGGUAAGUGUAGCUUCCCUGGGAGCCCAGGAGCCGGCCCACGGGCACGAAAGGUUGAGAAUUUCGUUUACUGUGAGGCAGUCAGGACGCCGCUGUGUUUCAUCUGAAGCCCCUGGCCCUGCGAUGCCCGGCACUCGGGGAGGAGUGCGGUGCGGCCGGGGACGGGAGCUUUCCAGAGCGCCUGUCUCCCGUCCGGCGUCGUGGAGCGCGCGGUGCAGAAGCAUGUCCGGAGCCCUCGGGGAGAGGAGAUGUGGCCUGUCAUCGAAUCAGCGGGAUGAGCACGCUUCCAGGUUUCCGAGAAGACUCCACAUCUUGCUUUUCACAGCUUCGGGUAAAUCCCCAUCAGGAUGCCGCAGGCCUCGGCACAGACAGGACCAUGACCUCCUGGAAUGAGCUGUGCACUUUCAUUACCUUAUUGUUGUUCAUUGGGCGUUAUUAAUACUAAAACCACAUUUUCUUUCUAAUUCAGGCAGAUGAGAUAAAUACAAUGCCACACAAUUAAAUGAUCUCUCCACGUGGCCUCCCAGUGGUCUUAAAUAAAUCUGGUUUUGUACAUCUACU